rnacentral:pre_miRNA from 1 species
UGCCCAAAGCACGAAUCGUCGAAUCGGAUGUCUUUGUAAUUGAACAGAAAUUCGAAUCGACGUUCGACCUGUGGUCAC